rnacentral:lncRNA from 1 species
AUGGAUAGUUCCACGUCCCUGGAAAGAUUCAGAAGAUGGUUGGUGCUGAUGGCUGUCCAGAGGGAGCUUCUCAACAUGCUUUCAGGUGAGUUGAAGACCAAGAAUAAAUUAUACACAGACCUUGAUCUGGAUGGAAGGGACAGAAAAAUAAAUAAAAUAAAAUAAACAACCUGUAAGCAUGAAAUUAAUUCCAGUUUAAAUCCCAUAUGAUGUAACUCUGUUCAUUAGCACGUUUCUGUAUCUUAGUGACCAAUUUCUAUUGGUGCGGAGAUCUGGAAUCUAAACUUUGUUUCCUCCAGGCCUUCUACUUCAGUAGUUUAGAUGUGCUACUUUCAUAACUAAGUAAACGUUCUCUAGUGGACAAGUGACUUUUCCAUCUAUUUCUUUGACUUAAGCUUGUAGGUUAUGUGGGAAGGAAAGUUGAAGGAAAAAAGGCUAACUCGAUCCAAGAAGAAAAUGACUAAUUUGGGAUGCAGAAAGAGUCUGUCUUGUUGAACUUCUAGGGAAAAGUAGCCCACUUUUUUUAUAUAAAGAAAUUCCCUCCAUAUAUAAUGGACAGAGUUUUCUCUAAUGUAAAAUUAUCCCCUAUGCUCAUGAUAACCAUGCCUGAGCAAUUUUUUUUCUAAGCUAUUUUAAAUGGCAUGUAAUUAUUAUCACCAAUUGUAAAUGGAUCCUAAGUCCCAAGGUGGGUUAUAUAGGGAUAUAUAUUCAGAGAAAGCUUGCAACAAGUAUUAAAAAAAAAAAAAAAAAGAAAAAAAAAAAAAGGAGAGCAAAGACAUGGAAAAUAGUUCAUUGUAAAUCUUGCAGCUCUUUAGAGUUUCCAACACUGUAGUGCUAUGAACUUUCUACUUGAUUUUUUUAAUUUGUUAGCAAAUAUUCAGAUAUAGCUGCAUAGUAAACACUUGGACUGGUCCCUGGAAAUACUCUUUUUCGAUGUAGUUUAUUAGGCAGUAAUUUACAGAAGUAAAUAUCACAAGGAAUAACCCAGCACUGUCAGAGGGGAAAAAUAAAGUAGGUGACCUGCUAGGCA